rnacentral:rRNA from 1 species
CCCCUAGAUGUUCUGGGCCGCACGCGCGCUACACUGAACAGUUCAACAAGUCUUAACCUUGGCCGAUAGGUCUGGGUAAUCUUUGAACGCUGUUCGUGAUUGGGAUAGACCUUUGCAAUUAUGGGUCUUCAACGAGGAAUUCCUAGUAAACGCAAGUCAUCAGCUUGCAUUGAUUACGUCCCUGCCCUUUGUACACACCGCCCGUCGUACCUACCGAUUGAAUGGUCCGGUGAAAUCUCGGGACGGCGGCUUGGUCGCUUGCGUCCGACUGCUGAAACUUGAUUAAACCAUAUCAUUUAGAGGAAGGUGAAGUCGUANCA